CGGUGACUAUAGCGGAGAGGAUACACCUGUUCCCAUCUCGAACACAGCAGUUAAGCUCUCUAGCGCCGAUGAUACUUGGUGGGAAGCUGCCUGGGAAAGUAGGUCGUUGCCGG
rnacentral:rRNA from 2 species